rnacentral:rRNA from 1 species
CCUACGGGUGGCAGCAGUGGGGAAUAUUGCACAAUGGGGGAAACCCUGAUGCAGCGACGCCGCGUGAAGGAAGAAGUAUUUCGGUAUGUAAACUUCUAUCAGCAGGGAAGAAAAUGACGGUACCUGACUAAGAAGCCCCGGCUAACUACGUGCCAGCAGCCGCGGUAAUACGUAGGGGGCAAGCGUUAUCCGGAUUUACUGGGUGUAAAGGGAGCGUAGACGGUAAUGCAAGUCUGGAGUGAAAGGCGGGGGCCCAACCCCCGGACUGCUCUGGAAACUGUGUAACUGGAGGGCAGGAGAGGCAGGCGGAAUUCCUAGUGUAGCGGUGAAAUGCGUAGAUAUUAGGAGGAACACCAGUGGCGAAGGCGGCCUGCUGGACUGUAACUGACGUUGAGGCUCGAAAGCGUGGAGAGCAAACAGGAUUAGAUACCCCUUAGUC